rnacentral:ncRNA from 1 species
UAGAUGGCGUUGAAGAGGAGGAGUACUCCGGAAUAGAACCAUGUAGAGAGAAGACGGCUGGUGAAAGUCUUUGGGAUAUUCGGAUGAAGCUGCCUUGGAGCUAUGGUGUGAAAGUGAUGAAUGCAUGCAUUCAUAACUAGGGUGGUACCGCGGAAGUGCAGCUUUCGUCCCUUGG